rnacentral:rRNA from 1 species
GGGGAAUAUUGCACAAUGGGGGAAACCCUGAUGCAGCGACGCCGCGUGAAGGACGAAGGUUUUCGGAUCGUAAACUUCUAUCAGCAGGGAGGAAGAAAUGACAGUACCUGAAUAAGCAGCCCCGGCUAACUACGUGCCAGCAGCCGCGGUAAUACGUAGGGGGCAAGCGUUAUCCGGAAUCACUGGGUGUAAAGGGUGCGUAGGCGGUAAUGCAAGUCAGAUGUGAAACCCCUUGGCUCAACCAAGGGCUUGCAUUUGAAACUGUGUUACUAGAGUGCAGGAGAGGAAAGCGGAAUUCCUAGUGUAGCGGUGAAAUGCGUAGAUAUUAGGAAGAACACCAGUGGCGAAGGCGGCUUUCUGGACUGUAACAGACGCUGAGGCACGAAAGCGUGGGUAGCGAAC